UACCUGAGCCUCAUUUACUGAUUUAUUUUGUGCUGACAUUAUUAGGGGUGUAACCUGUGAGAUAAUGACACCAGCCGCCACCUGUUACCAAGGCUGAACUGGGUAUAUCCGUCUUUCCAGACUUGUCAGACUAGCUAUCAGCAUUGGCCACGCUUUUGUUAGAAACGUGCUCAGGACGCACCACGGGAAGGUGCUGAUCAGCAUAUGUUGGUAGCCGUCAAGCCUCCCUACUUUGCGCAAUCUGCAACUGGGCGUCACCCCUGUCACAGACUCCUAUUAGCAUCUCUAACUCUUCUACUAAGAUCCACAUUGAUCUGUCCUGAUCAGUUAGCUCCAGCCACCCUCUUUCAGGCUGCUGGGUACAGACCGCUACUACCCGCGAGUCGGGAGCCGAGGACUGCGGAUGCCAGACUCAUAGUCCUAGCCACUCUCCGUGCAGUCAGAACUAAGGCCCCGGGCCCACCUCCCGGGGACAGUGUAGAUCUGGCAGUCUUGCACCAGGGCUCGUAGGUGGGGUCUGAGGCGCCGGAGGAGAACAGCUGCCAGGACCCUGUAGUCAGCCGAGGGCAACGAGAUGGCCUGUAGCCAUCGAGGCCGCAAUCGCUGCGGGCCUUGGGUAUCAGGCAGAUGGAACUGUGCCGCGUGUUAGUGCUUCCUUAUUGCAUGGCGUCCGUCCUGUCAAUCUGUUGCAGUCCAAUUCCUCUAUCAGCAGGCCUUCGAGUGAUCUGACUACUGAGGGCAACAUAAGCUUGGCCGUACAUAUAGAGCUUCUACCCCAAGUAAACUACUGCGUGGUCAACAGUGCUUCCUUGUGUACUGUUGGUGCCCAAGAACAAGACAGUUGGCGACAUUCUUUGUUUCACGGUUCCAUUACUAUGGUGGUGUGCCUUUUGAAGGGAUGUAUUUUUUUCCAAAUUCAUAGUGGUAGAAGGAGAAUUUUCCUCUUGGAUUGUAGCUGCUCCUAGAACAGUUACAGGAAUUGCUACGACAAAAAAAAAAUUGUAGAUAAAAUAACCAAAUACCUAAUAAUUUUAGAUGGACUGGUACAUGUUUUCACUGCACUUCAGACAAGUCUGCCCAUUCAAUCUCUUAGUUCACAUUUUAUAUAAUAUACAAUAUUAUAUUACAAUAUUGGCCUCUAAGUCAAUGCCAAAAUGAAUGCUCUAUGAAAGCAACAAAUGAAGGGCCGAAAACGCUCAUGAAGACAAUAGAAGACAACAUAUUUAAAGGAGCAUCUCCAACGGAAAACAUCAGUUCCUAAUGUUAGGAAGAUAUCUUCAUAAAGGUUCAAGAGAAUGCUCUAUAAAGACAACAAAUUGAAAGUUGUUGCGCGACCUGCACCCCCUUGAGGCACCCCUGGAGCAGAUGGCCACCCAGACCUUACGGUCCACAAGCCGGCAUGUGAAGCAUGCCCUUAGCUGCUAUCUUGUUCCACUCAUAAGCCAAGUAACGGCAUCCAAGCUGGUGCUUGAAUAUUGUACCUGGAAAAACCACCUCCCAGAUGACGAGUCUGGAAGAAUUUAUAUACCGGUGACCUUUAGUCACAGCAAAACAGUAAACUGUCUACUGCGUCCAGCUGGGACCACGGGAAGGCGGCCACCUGUUGACCCUGUUCAUUCGCAGCUGAGAAAGAGCUCAGCUGCCACAUCGUGAGCUUUCUCGAGAUGCUUGCUGUGAUUUCUCAGCAGCUCGCUCUCGCCCCUCGCCCUCCUUCUCUCUUCCUGCACGCCUACCACCCUUGAGCAAUCCAAGACGUAGUGGCGUGCGUCUACAUCCCUCUCUCCACAGACGCAAUCAGGAUUGCUCUUUAUCUUGAAUCUGUGGAGACUCCUGGGGAAGGGCCCAUGUCCCGAAACUACCCUAAUUAGUACCUUACAUAGGUACUUGGGUAUUGUUACCCAAUUUGAUACCUCCCUCCCCUUGUCGCUGCUCUUCCAUCUGUCCAACCAUAGGUCCUGGACGUGCCCCCUGAUCUCCUAUAAACUUCCUUUUUGGUCACAGGAGUCCUCACAGAUCUACCUCUAAAGCACCCUGCUUUAGCGAGCCUGUCUGCAAAUUCAUUACCUUCGAUGAGGCUGUGACCCCUAACCCAAUGGAGAUCUGGAGCCCGCGAUAUCAUCUCCAGCUCCUGGAUGAUUUGAUGCGCGAGUUGCCCCUUCUCCAUAUUGAUGGCGACCAGGGCCGACAUGCAAUCUGAAUAGAGGCGGUCAGGGCUCAAGUUCUUCUCGGCACACAUUCUGAGGGCUUCCCUGAUCGCAACCAGCUCGGCUGAAUAGACCAGUUCGUCCACUCUGAGUGUUACGCUUUCUUGGAAGAUCAGCUCCCCAUUGGUGAAGAUCACAACCCCAGCUCCAGUAUUGGUUCCAGACUUGCUCCCAUCAGUGAAGACCUCCGUACCAAUCCCUGUUGGCACUCCAGGACUCCCAAUUCCACUUUGGCAGCCACUGCGGAGGCUUCCUUGGGUCCCUCUUCCAUUCCAAGGUACCCGCUUCAAGGCCCAGGGCGUCUUCCCUAUCUUCCCAAAUUUUCUGUCUGAUGGCCUCCUCCUCUAGUUUCAAACCCAGGGGAAUAAGCCCAGCGAGGACCAACAAGGCCUCCGUGCUGGUAGUGCGAUAUCCCCCUGUGAUUCUGAGUGCCGCUGUCCUCUGCACUCUCUCUAGAGUUGUUGCCACCUUCUGAUCUUUAUUUCGGCGCCACCAGGCCCUAGAGGCAUAUAGUAGGAUUGGCUCGACACAGGAAAGGUAGAGGUUCCUAAAGAUAGUACCUCCUUGCCCCCCCCGUUGAGAGCUAACCGUGACAGCCUGCACAAUGCCUGUCUGCCUCUCGCCACCAUCUCCGCGUGGUAUUGCCAUCCCAACUUAUCAUCAAUAACCAACCCCAGGAUGGUCAUCCUAUUUACUACCGAUACCCUCCGUCCUUCCAUCCGGAUAGCCGCUUAUGUUCCCAUCUGAUCCCUUUUCUUUUGGUUCUUAUGUCCCUAGACUUAAAGCUGAGGGCUUUAGUUUCAGCGACAUUGAACCUAAGGCCAGAGUCGUGGGCCCAGUUCGCGAGGAUUUGGAGAGAGUUUUCCACACACUUCUCAACCUUCGCUCUCAAAGCAGCCUCAAUGAUGUGGAACUGGUCGUCGGCAUAGAGAACCAGCCUGGCUCCCUCAGGUAGCUCCUCCUGGAAAACAGUGUUUACCAGGAUGUUCCACAGAACAGGUCCACAGCAGGAGCCCUGGGGGCAACCCCUGGCACAUUUUCUUACCAACUUCAGUCCAUCAAAACUGAGGCUAACCCGUCUAUCCCUCAGGAAGUCACGAACCAAGCUACACAAAUUAUUCAGAAAACCCAUAUCCAUCAAAUUUCUCAUCAGCUUGUUCCAGUUCAUGGAAUUGAAAGCACCAUCAAUGUCCAGGGCCACGAGAAGAACCCAAGCACCCUUAUUUAGCCCUAUCUCAACCCCCUCUAAUACUUCGUUCAGAGCUGUGGUUGUCGACUUGCCUUCCCUAAAACCAUGUUGGGAAGAGGAAAGGAGCUCAUUACUCUCUAGCCAGUGCUUCAGACGCUGAGCUAGUUGGCUAUCCAGGACCUUACCUAGACACGCUAGUAACAAAAGCGGACGAUAAUCAAUAGGGGAAUUACCCUUUCUACCAGACUUUUCCAGAAGCACUACUCGGGCAACCUUCCAUACCUUAGGAAAAGUACCAGUGUCCAGGCACCUAUUGAAUAACCUGGCAAGAAGCGAUGGGUGCAUCCUAACCAGGGCUUUCACGAUCGUGUUAUCGAUUCCGUCCGACUCAGGAGAUUUCCUGUUCCCGAACUUGAAAGCCGUCCGUUUAACCUCCAUCUCAGAAAAGGGCGGAUCCACCAAACCACAAGUGGUCAGCAAAAUCUCAUCCUCUGGCACUUCGUUUCCAAAAUGCCGAUCCAAGAUGAGGUCCAGGGUCUCCUUAAGGUCCCGGGUCUUGAACCCAUCUUCAUCUUCAAGCAGCCUCAAGUUAGCGGAGCUCCUUAUCUUACCAGAAACAACCCUGUAAGGGAGAACGUAUGGAUUUAUUUCCAGUACGGUGUUGCACUGCUCCCUCCAGUGUCUCCUCUUCGCCCUCUUGGUGCGUCUUUUAUAUCACGCCAAGAUUUUCCUGUAGGCUAUUCCCCUCCUGAUCCUUUCUUCGCCUACGCUGUUCUGGAAUAGUUUCCUCAUGGCCCUGACUCUCUUUCUCUCGAUCUCUAACUCCUCUGUCCACCAAGGCUGUUUAAGCCUUUUAAAUGUGGUAACUUUUCCAGGCCCCAGCGCUCGACACGUGUUGAUUAUAUCCUGGUGAAGCUCAUUGACCAUGCUAUCAAUAGCAAUUCCGUCAACAGCUCCAGUCAGGCUACCCUCAAGCGUGCAAACGAACCGGCGUCUGAAUCUUUCAAGGUUAGGCCCCCUGAUACAGAGGAGCUCUCUCCACUGAUGGCGGUUCCACAUCACAACUGGCUUCAAACCUGAUGAGUUUGUAGUCGCUUACGUCCGUGGGGUCCGUUUCCCACCUCAAACGCCGCAUCCUGCUUGUUCUUGCCAGGAAGAAGUCUAUUAUGCUUUCACCGUUUACCGUGGCAAACGUUGAUUCACCAUAGACGUUCCAAACUUCCAGACCCUGACCGAUAACUAAAUCGACCAGAGACCUUCCUUUGCGAUUUUCCUCCCUGUCCCCAAACAGCUGGGUGCGCGCGUUAAAAUCCCCGCCAAUCACAAUCUUGUGCCCUUCCUUCUGGACCAAAGGUAAUUUAGGAAGUCCAGCCUACCGAGAUCGUUGUCCUGAGGUGGUAUGUACACAGAGAGGCAGACCAAUUUUAGAUCCGCCGCCUCGAUCUGUACAGCCGCCGCCCCCUCCCAGGACCCACAUCCCAGACAAGGAAGGUCUCCCCGGACCAGUAAGGCAGCCUUUUUGCACUCACUAGAGAAGAAACUAUAUCGAGUAUUAGACCCAUCCUCCCAUCAUCCUCCAGGUACAUCUCCUGCACCUGGAUAACGUGAGGGUGAUCACUUUUAAUGAUCCGGUCUAGCUCCUCGGAGCUCCCCCUCGAAUGGGCGCAAUUUAGCUGCACAAACCUCCAUACCUCCUUAUUUGGCCCCUCUACCAUUGCCUCCCAUUCACAUACCAGGCCUUUACCGAGCACUGCGUACUCCGGGGGCGAUGAUCAGUCAUACUUCCUGCCGUACCUCUUAUUGGCCUCUAAGCAGAGCCAACAUCCCGGCCUCAUGUCGCAACCCUGCUCUGGGGAGUGUACGCCCUCGCACCUCCCACACCUCUUAGGGUGUUCGCAGGUUCUUGCAAUAUGACCGGCCCUGAGGCACCUGAAGCAGGUCGACACCGCGUCGUUCACCCUGAUAGGUACCAUCCUUGCACCUAUUUUCAACCUCUUCUUGCCCAAGAGGAAUUUCAUGGUGCCUCCUUUAAGCCAGAAAUGACCCAAUUCGUGGCGUAGGGCCUCCUUGUUCUCUUUUGAUACAAUCUCAUAUAUCCUUCCAAGAAGUCCCCACACCCCGAAUUUUGGAGCACCACCAUUUCUCUUAGCAUCCCCUCUUUAAUGUCAGAGUUGACACCUAAGAGGAUCAGCUCCCUCCUGGCCCUCUUGAGGCCUCCAAGCCUCAGAGCAGGCACCCUCUCUAUAGCCUCCAUGGCCAGUUUCCUGUCCUCGGGGUUCUUCAAAAUGAGGGCCACCGCACCCCCACCCCGAAUUAUUUUGAGGUCAUAGCGGUUCCCAGGAAUGCUACCAGCGGUGCUUUUCAGUACCGCGAGCAUUAACCCAGACCCUGCUCCCUCAUUCCACUCAACUACCAGGGUCAGAUCCUCGUUCCAUCUAGGGGGGGGCCUUUGACCUUUGGAGGUUCUGGCUGGUACUCCUAGCCGCCUUGGGGGGAACCUUGUUUUCCCUGGUCCCUGUCUUCUUUGGGGGUCCCUACUUGGUGGACCUGGCUGCCUUGGGGGGCCCCUUUUCCUCUUCAGUCCUGGACUUCUUUGGAGGUUCCGGCUUGGUGGGCUUGUCUGCCUUGGGCGGUUCCUUGUCCUUCUCAGCUCUGGUCUUUCUUGGAGGUUCCGGCUUGUUUGUUUUCGCCGCCUUAGGGGGGUCCUUUACUUCAUCAGCCCUGAUCUUCGGGGGAGGAGGCUCUUUCUUCUCCUCUGUGGGCUUCGCUCCUGGUGGGUCCUCUUUCUCAUUUGCCGACUCUUCGUUCUUCCAUCCUCCUCUUUUCUCGUCGGCUUCCUGUCCCUCUUCUUCCUCUUCUUUUCCCUUUUAUCUUUUUCUGCCAUCUCACUGUUCUCAGUAUGAACAGGCUGUCUUGGGGGAGAUGGCAGAGCGGCCUCUUUGGUCCUAGUUGGUGUUUUGACCAGGACCCCCUCUACUUCAGGGCAGUAAAUCGAGGUCGUUGCCCUUGUGGGCUCUUCCGUCUUCUCGUGGUGGGCGGGCGACUCUCGCCUAGGGAGGACUGGGGAAGCGUCAUGGGGAGGACAUACCUCAACCUCAGCUAUUUUUAGCGACUCUGCAAGAGCCGCUGCCACUCCUCUCUCUAUGCCGUACUGCAGGGUGGUUGGACUGAGGAAUUUCUCCUCAAGCUUCCGCUUUUCCACCCGCAGGAGUUCGAGCUCUUCAAUGGCUGCCCUAUGCUUAUUGAGGAGCUUAUCGAAGCAUUGCUCGAGGAUGUUCGGGUGAACGUUCCCAACUUUCCUCCCUCGCCGUAUGGUGGCUAGGGAGUCGUGGAAAGCCUCCGUAAGCUCCGAACUCUUCUUCUGGGGUGUCAACGCCUGGUUUAGGAAGUCGUUAAGGUCGUUGAGGUACCCUGGCUUGGUGAAGUCUUUCCCAAACCCUGACUCCUCGACUGUUGGGCUGAUUCUCGCCUCAGAAGAAGGAUCAAUCAGCAUAAAAGGAUCCAACGGGACCUCCAUGUUGAUGAUAUUGGAGGGCCCUUGGUCCCGGUAUCUGGGGCAUCAGAUCCCUGGGGGCCUUUCGGACCUCAGUCCUAGCAGGGCGUGCGUGCUGACCCAUCUCAGUAUGGGUGUCGGCCGUUAGCUCGACUUCAUAGGGGGUGUUGGCCGUUAGCUCAACUUCAUUUGGUGUACCGGCCGUUAGCUCGGCUUCGCUAGUCAUCUUUCUUGGGCUUACUUUGUUGUAUUUCAUGAAAGAUGGUGUUCCAGUUCAAUAAUGUCAUGGUUACCACCGGUCCCCAAGGUAGCCAUCACAUAGCUGUCUUUCCAGUCUGUCUGACAAGCUGUCAAGUUUAGCCGUACUCUGGUUAAGAGACGCCCAGGGCGCACCAUGUGGAGGUGUUGAUCGGCACAUGUAGGUAGCCGUCAGGCCUCCCUACUUUGCGCAGUCUGCAACUGGCGUCGAUGAUGUCAGCCCGGGAAGCCCUGAUCUGCUGGACCAUUGUUGUUCUUGCCGCAUGUGGUCGUCUUCGCGGGGUUGCGCCGGUCCUUCCAGAGGCGCUGAUACCGCUGGAGCGCUGUUCAACGGCGCGGCCUGGCGACUCCCUACAUCUUCGUUUGGAUCGCACCACGGUGAAGCCUUCUUCACCAGAUUCCGAGGCCUCCAUUCGUUCGGCCCAGUUCGCGCAGCGCCCACAGUGCCGCUUGUUGAAGGCGUGGCAUCAGCGGCGCAAGCUGCGGGAAAAUUUGCAUGCUGUUUGUCUGCGGGUAAAUUUGCAUAGGUGCAGUUUGAAUUUUUCAUUCUUGAUUCUUCAACUUGAUGAUUUUUUGCGGAUAUCUCCGCAACAGCUUUGUUAUCAGAGCCGAGCCUUCCAGUCUCAUGUACAGUUGUCACAGUCGGGGCAUCUACAUGGCAGUCACAGACAAUGCGUUGUCGACGGCGCGAUACGCAUAACGCGCACGAAAAGUUAGAAAUUUUAUGCAUAGAAGGCAGUACACCAUAACUAACAACAAAGCAAGGAUAACAGUUAGGAUAAGAAGUUGUGUUUUCAAUCCAGCGAUGUCAAGUUGGCCGCCAGGGUGAGAUUCCAACC